UACGGGGGGGGGAAGCGUUGUUCGGAAUUACUGGGCGUAAAGGGCUCGUAGGCGGCCAACUAAGUCGGACGUGAAAUCCCUCAGCUUAACUGGGGAACUGCGUCCGAUACUGGAUGGCUUGGAUUUGGGAGAGGGAUGCGGAAUUCCAGGUGUAGCGGUGAAAUGCGUAGAUAUCUGGAGGAAUACCGGUGGCGAAGGCGGCAUCCUGGACCGGCAUUGACGCUGAACAGCGAAAGCUAGGGGAGCAAACGGG
rnacentral:rRNA from 1 species